rnacentral:rRNA from 1 species
AAUUUCAGGAUAAGAUUAGUAAAAAAUUUCAUUUUGUGGAAAGAUUGCAUUUUUUGAUUUUGGACGUUGAAAUUAACGAAAUUAUUUAAAUAUUAAAUAAAUUCCUUAAGGAAACUUUAAAUAAAUAGUGUGAAAUGAAACAUCUGAGUAGCACGAAAAUAAAUCAAUAGAGAUUAGGUAAGUAAUGGUGAGUGAACAUCUAGUAGAUUCAGAUAUAUGUGAAAAUUCAUAGAAAGUUAAACUUGUAGCAUAUUAUAAUUAAAAAGUAUAUGUUAUACAUAAAAUAUGGGUGUUAUAUCCAAAUCUAAAUUAAAAAAAAUAGCGAUAGUGAAAAGUACCGUGAGGGAAAAUUAAUUUAAUAAGGAAAUUAGAUUGAUAAAACAGAAUGGAAAAAGCAAAUUAAGUAUUUUUUAAAUAUAAAAUUGUACCUUUUGUAUAAUGGGCCAGUGAGUUAAAUUGUAUGGUUAGUUUAAUUUAAUAAAGUAGACUGAGGAAACUGGAAAAAUCAUAUAAUUUAAACUCGAAAUCAGUCGAUCUUACCAUGAACAAUUUGAAAAGAUAUAAUAUAUUCUUGGAGGAAUGUACUGUUGAUUGUAGCAAUAAUCUCAGAUGAUUUGUGGUAAGGAGUGAAAGGCUAAUCUAGGCUGAUGAUAGCUAGUUUUCUGUGAAAGUUAUUUAAGUAAUGCGUUAUUAUUUAGUUUAAAAAAGGUAGAGCUCUGGUUAUGAAAACAGUUUAGUUACUGUUUAUAAAUAAUUAAACUUAUGAAUUGGUUUAACUAAAGUAAUAGUAAGACAUAGGGCGUUAAGGUUCUAUGUCAAAAGGAUAAGAGUCCAGAUUAUAAGUUAAAGUUGUUAAUUAGGUAAUUAAGUGCGUAAAAAUGUUUUUUUGUGUCUAAGUUUAUGAAGUAGGCUUGGAAGCAGCCUUCUUUUAAAGAAAGAGUAAUAUCUCAGUAAACUAAUAGAAAAGUAUUGAAAAUUUAUGCAACUAAAAUCUUAAACUGAAACUGUAGAUAGGGAUUGUGGUAACAGAAUAUUCUUAAGUUUAAGAAGAAAUUAUGCUGGCAUGAGUAAUAAAAGAAAAUAUAAAUAUUUCUGGUUAAAAACUGAAGGUUUUCUAUAUAUUAUGAAAAAUAUAAGAGUAUGUGGUCUCUAAGUUAGUUGUAGAACUAUGCUGUAAUGUUAAAUGAUGAGAUAUAGUUUGAAACAGAGAUGUAUAAUCUUGCAAGAAAAAGAACUGCGAAUUAACCACACUAAAACUAACUCAAGUAGGUAAAUAUAGAAUAUUAAAACUAAGAUUAAAUAACACUUAAGGAACUCGGCAAAUUGUUUUUGUAAGUUCGCGAUAAAAAAAGCCUGUAAGGUUUAAGAUAACAGGAGGUUCCAACUGUCCACCAGGAACACAGUAUUCUGCAAACUUGUAAAAGGAAGUAUAGGAUAUGAAGCUUGCCCAAUGAUAGGGAAUAAUAAAUUAUAAUAAUUUAAAAAUACUAAUUAAAUGGCUGCAGUAACCAUAACUGUACAAAGGUAGCAAAAUGCCUUGGCUACUAAUUAUAGUCUUGCAUGAAUAGCUUAAUGAGAGCCUCGCUGUCUCAAGUGUUAUAUCUAUGAAAUUGAAUUUGCAGUGAAGAUGCUGUAUAAUUAUAGGUAGACGAGAAGACCCUAUGCACCUUGACUAUAGGUUGUUAUUGUGUAAAGUUCGCUUAAUUUAUAGAAUAGAUAAUAAAUUAUUGGUAAUUGAAAUUGUAAUAUUAUUACUAGGUUAAAAUUACACUAAGGUAGUUUAAAUUGAAAGUGACAAUCGGGUAGUUUGGCUGGGGUGGCCCUCCUUUAAAUGGUAACAAGGAGAUUCUUAAGGUUAACAAAAUUAACAAGAUGUUAGUUGAUAUCAUAAUAGAUAAAGUUAGCUUAAAAGAUGGAAAUACAUUUCUAUCUUGUACGAAAGUAUGAUAUAGUGAUCGAGUUUUUAAUUAAUAAUUUAGACUCAUCAAUGAAUAAAAGGUACGCUAGGGAUAACAGGCUUAUAAAUAUUGAGAGUUCAUAUCGACAUAUUUGUUUGGCACCUCGAUGUCGACUUGCUUCAUCCUCUUGGUGAAAUAAUUGAGAAGGGUUAGACUGUUCGUCUAUUAAAGAAGUACAUGAGUUGGGUUAAUUACGUUGUAAGACAGUAAGGAUUCUAUCUCCUAUGAUAUAAUUAUCUAAGUUUUUGUUUUUGUUUAGUACGAAAGGACCAAUGAGAAUAAGUCUCUGGUACUUCAGUUGUUUUAAAGCAUAGCUGAGUAGCUACACUUAAUUAGUUAACUAUUGAAAUCAAUUUAAAUGGGAAACUAGGAAAAUUAAGGUAAAAAUUAACAAACAAUAGAUGAUUGUUUUUUAGUUAUAAAUGUAAGUUUAGUAAUAAAUUUAGUUAUAUAAUAUAAUUAAUUUAAGGACUAGUUUUAUGAUACAG